ACCGCUGAAAGGAUCUAAAUAUGAAGAGGAGACGCGUCAAAGAUGGGACAAGUGAUCAGCCACUAUUAAGGUCCUCUGUUUAUCCUUACUUUUCAGACCGUUAAGAGGCUCUGUUCUGUAACUACCAAAACACACUGUUUCAGAUAGAGGUGGUUGCAAGAUCUGAGAGACUAUUUAUGACAACAGAGCAAAUGUCAUAGAGAACUAGAGAUGAAAAAGUCAGUUUAUUAAACAGUUUUUGAAGAUUUUUUCUUCUUCUUACAAGAUAUUCUAAAUCUGAUUUAGAAAGGUAAAUUACAAAUAAUCUAAAGUAUAAAAAAUACAAAAAAAAAAGACUCCAACUACAGAGAACUCUCUUACAACAUCCAGCUUGGAGGAUGCUCUUAAAUAACGCAUUUACACAUACACAAGAUUCAGAACUAAAGCAUA